UCCUCGCUUCGUUCCUUCUCAGCUGUGCUCACAGCGGCCCCGUAAAACACACGGCACGCCCCUGCUACAGCCUCCAGCGGCUCCCCGGCCUGGUCACUCGGGAGACGGCUGACAGCUUACCGGAAGUUUUGGAGGACACGCCGCGCCGCACGGACGCACUUCCGGGCCCCUCUGGGCCGUUUGGAGGACCGUCUUCUCGGUGGCCCGCGCGCCCGCCGGCCUGGAUUGCAGGCGGAUUCCCAGGCGGCGGGGAGGCUGUGAGCGUGAAGUUCUUUCCCUGGGUUGUCCCUGCGGCCCCUCCGGCCCCUCGCACACCGGGCUUGGGCUUCGGUGCCGGGCUCUCACCCCACGUCUGCUUUAGAGAAAUUCGGGCGGAAGGGGACUGCCAGCAACCAGGAGGUCGCCUCGGGGCGGGGCAUGGAGCCCUUGGCUAGAUUAUAGUUUAAAAAGCAACAAAAAUCAAGACAUAGGUGACACGAUGGGGUUGAUUACAUGAAGUGCUGCGUUGGGACAAAGAUAAAUUGAGUUCAGCCCAUCAAUUCAGGUGUAGAAUUGGAGUGAAAGAAAGUCGCCUGCCCCAUCCCGUCGCUCAGAUCCAUUAGAGCUUUAUCACGGCUGACUGUGAACUGUAUGAGUUCUUCACUCCCCAAUCCCGGAGAACAUACUGGGCAUUGACAUUUUACAAAGACAGACUUGGCAAACUUCGAUUGGGGAAUUCAGCCUCCAAGUACGAGUAACAAAAUCAGUACCGAGAGGCAGGGUCAAUGGGGAGCCAGCCCAUUAGGGGAGCCGGGGAGGGUGGUGACCUGCAAUAUGGGUUACGGGGAGGACACUCGGAAACGGUCCAGGAGCGCCAUCGUGUGGACAUUGUGCGCCUUGCACAUGGCGCCUUUAAGAGCUAGUGAGGCGGGUAAGAAAGCCGGACGGCUCCCGAAGAAUGACAGUGGACUGUGGAGAACCAGAGAGGUGCUGCCUCCUAUUCAUGCAGCCAUGCCUAAUACUGCCACCACAUAAGCCACUUCAGCCACUCCCAAAAUCCCGGGACAGCCUGCCGCAUCCCGCCAUUCUGCGCCUCCCGAGGCAUUCUGCAGGGUGUGUUAGACUAGAGAAUCGGCUUCUUCCGUGCUCCUCUUCCAGUCUGCAUUUUCCGGUCGGCCUCUCCAGCCCGGAAGUCAGGCGACUUUCGCUUUCCUGAGUUCGGACCGGCUCUCUCGAUUUAAAACUCCCGGGACCUGGGAUCCACUUCCGCCCUCUGCCCUGGACCUGGACCCGCCCGUGACGCCCAAUUUCGUCUCCUCAUUGGUCAGAACCCUCAUUGGCCCCGCCCCCUCGUCGCAGGCUGUCCUACGCAGCAAGCGUCAGACGGCGCAGUGCUUCA